rnacentral:rRNA from 1 species
GACGAACGCUGGCGGCGUGCUUAACACAUGCAAGUCGAACGGAAAGGCCCUGCUUUUGUGGGGUGCUCGAGUGGCGAACGGGUGAGUAACACGUGAGUAACCUGCCCUUGACUUUGGGAUAACUUCAGGAAGCUGGGGCUAAUACCGGAUAGGAGCUCCUGCUGCAUGGUGGGGGUUGGAAAGUUUCGGCGGUUGGGGAUGGACUCGCGGCUUAUCAGCUUGUUGGUGGGGUAGUGGCUUACCAAGGCUUUGACGGGUAGCCGGCCUGAGAGGGUGACCGGCCACAUUGGGACUGAGAUACGGCCCAGACUCCUACGGGAGGCAGUAGUGGGGAAUAUUGCACAAUGGGCGGAAGCCUGAUGCAGCAACGCCGCGUGCGGGAUGACGGCCUUCGGGUUGUAAACCGCUUUCGCCUGUGACGAAGCGUGAGUGACGGUAAUGGGUAAAGAAGCACCGGCUAACUACGUG